AGCUCCAAUAGCGUAUACUAAAGUUGUUGCAGUUAAAAAGCUCGUAGUUGAAUUUCUGGUCUCGGACAUCGGUCUGCCUCGAACGAGGUACGUACCAGUUGUCUGAAUCCAUCCUCGGGGAAAACAUGUCUGGCAUUCAGUUGUUGGGCAUGGGAUCCUCGUCAUUUACUGUGAGCAAAAUAGAGUGUUCAAAGCAGGCUUAUGCCGUUGAAUACAUUAGCAUGGAAUAAUAAGAUAGGACCUUGGUCUAUUUUGUUGGUUUGUACUCCAAGGUAAUGAUUAAUAGGGAUAGUUGGGGGUAUUCGUAUUCAAUUGUCAGAGGUGAAAUUCUUGGAUUUAUGGAAGACGAACUACUGCGAAAGCAUUUACCAAGGAUGUUUUCAUUA
rnacentral:rRNA from 1 species